GCACAUAAGACAUGCAAGUCGAACGAACUUAACCCUUUGUUUACAUUGGGAGCGGUUAGUGGCGGACUGGUGAGUAACACGUAAGCAACCUGCCUAUUAGAGGGGAAUAACAGUGAGAAAUCAUUGCUAAUACCGCAUAUGCUCACAGUAUCACAUGAUACAGUGAGGAAAGGAGCAAUCCGCUAAUAGAUGGGCUUGCGUCUGAUUAGCUAGUUGGUGGGGUAACGGCCUACCAAGGCGACGAUCAGUAGCCGGACUGAGAGGUUGAACGGCCACAUUGGGACUGAGAUACGGCCCAGACUCCUACGGGAGGCAGCAGUCGGGAAUAUUGCGCAAUGGAGGAAACUCUGACGCAGUGACGCCGCGUAUAGGAAGAAGGUUUUCAGAUUGUAAACUAUUGUCGUUAGGAAGAAAAAGACA
rnacentral:rRNA from 1 species